CUUAUACUCCCUCCGUCCGGAAAUACUUGUCGGAGAAAUGGAUGUAGCUAGACGGAUUUUAGUUCUAGAUACAUCCAUUUUUAUCCAUUUCUCCGACAAGUAUUUUCGGACGGAGGGAGUAUUUA
rfam:Triticum aestivum genome assembly, contig: Triticum_aestivum_CS42_TGACv1_scaffold_032238_1BL